GAGAGGUAGACGAGAAGUGCAGAGAUCGACGACAGUAUAGGCGGCGCGCGACGAUCAGUGCAGGAGGGCGAAGAGGAGCGACGGUCAGUGGUUAGUGGUGAGUGGUGUGUGGCGGUGAGUGGUGAGUGGGGGUGAGUGGUGACUGGGGUGCGAUCUUCGCGAUGGUGAGAGUUUUCGAUUCGCGUGAUGCAGGAGGAUUUUCUGAAAGGGUUUUCUUUGCGCGGUGAAUGGUGACUCUUGGAGGGUUUUCUUCUCUGAAAGGUGAAAGGGUGAUGACGAGCUGACUGAGUUUGAGCUGAGGGUUUUCUUCUCUGAACCCUUCACUGAGAAAAGCAAGCGUAAGGAAGAAGAAAAUAACCCUUCAUUCGAGACCACUGCAAACAGAAGAAGCAGCGAAAACACCGAUCACUCUUGGUUUUCUUCUCUGAAAGGUGAAAGGUGAAAGGUGAAAGGGUUUUCUUCUCUUGGAGGGAAAAUUUUCACUAAGUGUGAGCUGAGUAUGCGUCCUUACGCCAGGAAAAAAUUAAGAGGGAAAAAAUUCACUCAGUGUCAAAUUUUUUGCUCUAGAUACAUUAGGCAUCACUUUUAAAAUGCACCCAAAACUUAACAAAUAGGCUACCCUUUAAAAGCGUCCUCUUUGA